rnacentral:rRNA from 1 species
UGGGGAUGACGUCAAGUCAUCAUGGCCCUUACGACCAGGGCUACACACGUGCUACAAUGGCGCAUACAAAGAGAAGCGACCUCGCGAGAGCAAGCGGACCUCAUAAAGUGCGUCGUAGUCCGGAUUGGAGUCUGCAACUCGACUCCAUGAAGUCGGAAUCGCUAGUAAUCGUGGAUCAGAAUGCCACGGUGAAUACGUUCCCGGGCCUUGUACACACCGCCCGUCACACCAUGGGAGUGGGUUGCAAAAGAAGUAGGUAGCUUAACCUUCGGGAGGGCGCUUACCACUUUGUGAUUCAUGACUGGGGUGAAGUCGUAACAAGGUAACCGUAGGGGAACCUGCGGUUGGAUCACCUCCUUACCUUAAAGAA